GCGAGCUGGUGAACGAUUACUGCUACGGCAGAGGAAACUCCUCCCUCCUUGCAGCAAGCGUGAUCUGGAGACGGAUAGUCAGAGAUGAUUGGCAAUGGCACAGAAAAUAAUCCAAUCUGGAGCACUAUGAUGGUAAAACCUGAGAUUUCCAGAAUGCGAAUGAAAAAUCCACCCCACGCGGAGAAAGGCCAAAUCAAACAAUAAGUGCUGCACUUUGUUUAGGUAGGCCGCAUAGCGAAAUGUCGUGAAAACAGAAGGAGGGUUACGGCCAGAACGC
rnacentral:RNase_P_RNA from 1 species